AACGAACGCUGGCGGCAGGCUUAACACAUGCAAGUCGAACGAGAAGCCACCUUCGGGUGGUGGACAGUGGCAGACGGGUGAGUAACGCGUGGGUAUCUACCUCGAGGUUUGGGAUAACUUUAGGAAACUGAAGCUAAUACCGGAUGUGCCCGAAAGGGGAAAGCGCUAUGGAGCGCCUUGAGAUGAGCCCGCGUUGGAUUAGGUAGUUGGUGGGGUAAUGGCCUACCAAGCCGACGAUCUAUAGCUGGUCUGAGAGGAUGAUCAGCCACACUGGGACUGAGACACGGCCCAG
rnacentral:rRNA from 1 species